rnacentral:rRNA from 1 species
UACGGAGGGUGCAAGCGUUAUCCGGAUUUACUGGGUUUAAAGGGUGUGUAGGCGGACUUUUAAGUCAGCGGUGAAAUCUCCGGGCUCAACCCGGAAACUGCCAUUGAUACUAUUGGUCUUGAAUGUUGUUGAGGUGGGCGGAACGGGUCAUGUAGCGGUGAAAUGCAUAGAUAUGACCCGGAACACCGAUUGCGUAGGCAGCCCACUAAGCAACGAUUGACGCUGAGGCACGAAAGCGUGGGGAUCAAACAGGAUUAGAUACCCUGGUAGUCCACGCCCUAAACGAUGAUUACUCGACGUUGGCGAUACACUGAUCAGCGUCCAAGCGAAAGCAUUAAGUAAUCCACCUGGGAAGUACGUUCGCAAGAAUGAA